UACGUAGGGUGCGAGCGUUGUCCGGAAUUAUUGGGCGUAAAGAGCUUGUAGGUGGUUUGUCGCGUCUGCUGUGAAAAUCCGAGGCUCAACCUCGGACUUGCAGUGGGUACGGGCAGACUAGAGUGUGGUAGGGGAGACUGGAAUUCCUGGUGUAGCGGUGAAAUGCGUAGAUAUCGAGAGGAACACCGAUGGCGAAGGCAGGUCUCUGGGCCAUAACUGAC
rnacentral:rRNA from 1 species